GUUAAUUUGGCAGAUUAGUGUAUUAAAUUUAGAAUUUAAAUAUGUAAUUAAUUUUACAUUUAACA
rnacentral:tRNA from 1 species